GACGAACGCUGGCGGCGUGCUUAACACAUGCAAGUCGAACGGAAAGGCCCUGCUUUUGUGGGGUGCUCGAGUGGCGAACGGGUGAGUAACACGUGAGUAACCUGCCCUUGACUUUGGGAUAACUUCAGGAAACUGGGGCUAAUACCGGAUAGGAGCUCCUGCUGCAUGGUGGGGGUUGGAAAGUUUCGGCGGUUGGGGAUGGACUCGCGGCUUAUCAGCUUGCUGGUGGGGUAGUGGCUUACCAAGGCUUUGACGGGUAGCCGGCCUGAGAGGGUGACCGGCCACAUUGGGACUGAGAUACGGCCCAGACACCUACGGGAGGCAGCAGUGGGGAAUAUUGCACAAUGGGCGGAAGCCUGAUGCAGCAACGCCGCGUGCGGGAUGACGGCCUUCGGGUUGUAAACCGCUUUCGCCUGUGACGAAGCGUGAGUGACGGUAAUGGGUAAAGAAGCACCGGCUAACUACGUG
rnacentral:rRNA from 1 species